rnacentral:rRNA from 1 species
CUACGGGGGGCUCCAGUAGGGAAUUUUGCGCAAUGGACGAAAGUCUGACGCAGCAACACCGCGUGGAGGACGAAGCCUUUAGGGGUGUAAACUCCUGUCAGCAGGGAAGAAUCAAUGACUGUACCUGCGGAGGAAGCAUCGGCUAACUACGUGCCAGCAGCCGCGGUAAUACGUAGGAUGCAAGCGUUGUCCGGAAUUAUUGGGCGUAAAGAGUUCGUAGGCGGCAUGCUAAGUCUGGUGUUAAAGACCGAAGCUCAACUUCGGAAAAGCAUUGGAAACUAGCAAGCUAGAGUGUGAUAGGGGUAAGGGGAAUUCCCAGUGUAGCGGUGAAAUGCAUAGAUAUUGGGAGGAACACCAGUGGCGAAAGCGUCUUACUGGGUCACAACUGACGCUGAGGAACGAAAGCUAGGGUAGCGAAUGGGAUUAGAUACCCGGGUAGUC